rnacentral:lncRNA from 1 species
GUCUUAUAAAAACUGUGGAUAACCUGAGCUGGAGCUGUCAUACCUGAUUCACUCGAUGUAUUCAUUUUAUAUGGCAAUUAUGCCAAUUUAAUUUUUGAAGAGAAGGUGUGUGUACCUAGCACGGAAGCAUGGCCUGGUUUCCUUCUGAUGAAGUUAUUGGGAAAAGAACAACAGGGGAUAUUUCCAUGUGUAUUAUGAACAGAGGCUCCAAUCAGCAUGUGGUAAUUUCAAAAAGCAUAUUUUAUACAUUCACACUUAAUCUGUUAAUAUUGCCUUUCUGAUUUUUUUCUGCUUCUUCGCUUAGUCAUUCCACUCACAGUUUUAUUUAGAGCUAGUUUUGUUAAAUACUGAUAUAUAUGUAUAUUGUAAUGCACUACUACACGUUCAACAAAUGAGAUCUCACAUACAGAGGAGCAAUGCUAGCAAGAUACUAAUUUCUACCCUAUCAAAUAACCUAAAUGUAAUCUCCUCUCUGAAACAGAAUGCAAAUGCAGCUGAGUCCAAGACCGAACCUGAGAUGACAGCUUUAAGACAGUCAUUUUUCCUCCUCCAUUUGCUUUCAUAAAAUGGUGUCCUGAGAUAUUCUGCUUAGGGCUGCAGGACUGAACGAAUAGUCUGCUCUGCAUGAGAAGGGGGAGCUAUGCUAUUUAAGGUGGAGUACAGAGCAAAUGUCUUCCUUCCAUUUUUCCCUUUUCCUCCCAAUAGCAAAUCAUUUAUUGUCACCAGAGGCAGGAGCUGUUUCUCAGAAACCACCAUCCUGAAUAUCUGCCUGAAAGGGUUGCAGAACAAAAAUAACAACAACGGCAACAACAAAAACGCAGACAUUAAGGAAAUGCUUAAUAUUCCCCCCAUACUCUUUUGAGUAGUAAAAAGCAAUGUUCACCAGAUUUUUAGGGACAGAAAGUUCAGGCCCAUCUCUUGCUGGAAGAAUUGCAAUGCCCCCUUCUCUCUCUUGUCAUUUCUGCAGGUGUGCACAUACACAUUGCACUUCUGUUAUGUGUGGAAAUGAAAUGCCUCCUUCCAGCAGUUACCAGCUUGGAAGACAAAAUGUACUUCAGGGCUGUUUCCUGAACAAUUCCAGCUGCUGCAAAGAUAACACUGGUAAAACAAGGCUGGGGACACUCGUCAUCUCCUGGGGGGGGGGUCCACAUUUCCACUUGUGUGUGCGUAUCUGCAAACCCACUGCUCAGCAUUCAGUAAAUUUCAAGUGCAGCCACAGCCUGGUUGGACAGAUUUGUGUGUGUCAGAAGCUGUCCAGUGCCGUAGCUACCACCUGACCAACAAUUUGCAGACCGUACUUCAGCUAUGAGGUACUGGGAAGGAUUAGUUAAGGAGAAAGAAAAGCAACGUUCAACAGGAAACAGGCUUUCCAUUGUGCCCCUUCAUUGUAUAUUCUCCGUGCUCCCUUUUCUGCUCUGUAGCGCAGGCCAGUUUGGGACACUCUAAAUUGUCAAGAGCAGCAAGCGGUUACCCCGAGUGUGCUUUAUCUGACAAUACAGACGGCUUUUUUUGUUAACUGACUUGAACCCAUUGUCCGUGCUCCCCCCUCCCACCCCCUCUCCUCUCUCCUCACCACCCUCAUCCCCAGCACAGCUCACCCUCCGCAGAUCCGUUGCAGUGUUUGGGUUCAUGAAGUACAAAUUAGCAUAAUCAGAUUAGCUGCAUGGGGUUGUAGAGCUGAAAGGGAAGAAAAAGAAAAAGUGGUUCACAAAGAGAAGCCCUGAGGAGGGCAGAAGGGGUUGAUAUUGCUGUUGUGCUGUGGUGCUGAAAACUUGCACCUGCAUCGCAAACAGAUCCUCUUCUCACUGAGGACUCUUAGAUGGUAUUAACGCAUGGGAAUCAAUUGAGGGGAGGAGAAGGCACAGAGGAGAUGGAGAAGAGAUGGAGAGGAGAGAGGAAGAGAGAGGAGGAGAGAGGAAGAGAGAGGAGGAGAGAGGAGGCGAGGGGAGG